rnacentral:misc_RNA from 2 species
CCGAGUGCGGGCUUCUCGCCCAACCUCCCACCCGUGUUGACCUGUGACCGUGUUGCUUCGGCGGGCCUAUCGAGGCCCGUCCCUGAUCGCCGGGGGACCCUGUAUCCCCGGGCGUGUGCCCGCCGAAGAACCCCUGAACCCUGCAUGAAUUGGGCGUCUGAGUAAAGAUUGAAUCGUUA